UUGAAGUGGUCUAGAAAUAAGCCUAAAUGGUAAAGAAUUUCCAUGUGGUAGUUCUUGCAGCACUGGAUUGUCACAGGGGGACUGAUCCAGGAGACCAAUUGCUAUUGCAUUGCCUUAGUUUCUGUUAGGGCACUGUAACAAAGGCAACUGAAUUUCACUGCCUUAGUGGUACUGUUAUUACCUUUUGCCUAUACGGAUUAUUUUGUACCAUGGCAAACUGACCAAUAAGGAAUAAUGUUGUAAUGGAGAAUGUGGAAUUAUGAAAGUAAGUUGAACAGAAGGAUAACAGAAACAUGUGAGUCAUGUACGAAACUAAAUUACUUCAUAACAUACAGAAAAGUGUAGUAGAUAAAGCUGUGAUCUGAUGCAUGCAUGGCAUGCAAAUGAACUAGUCUUUUCUCUAGAGUUUCUUAAGUGAUUACAGAAAUACUGAAAUGCCCCAUCUGGGAUUUAAGCAAUCCACUUAGAGGAAAGCAUUUCUCAGAAACAACAAAAUAAGAGACUGACAAAGCUUCCUUCAUAAAUGACUCCUGCUAAACCCCUCAAUACAGAGCCUCUUUUGAGUGUCCUGUCCAAACCAGUCCAGGUCUGCUGGUGACAUCAUGAAAUGUGAGAUGCCUAUGAGCUAGUCUCUGGCCACAACGGAGCUUUGGCCACCUGUCUGUCCUGUGCUUCAGAAGAUAUUCAGGAUGUUGACAGAGAAGAGUGGGACUUAGCUACUAAAACUUGGCAACUCAGCCUCUUCUAUUUUCCAAGGACCAGUGCAGCUAGCAAUCCUUGAUUGGCUGUGUACCAUCUUCCUCUGGCUCCAGCAGGAAAGCCAGAGUAGCUGACCUCUGGCUGGUUUCAGGUUCUUGAUUUGUUUAGUCAGCUUCUGGUGCUUUCAUACUUUCUCUGUAACUGCUGCCAAGAGGGUAUUUAGUUUGCUUGCAUUGUGGUCCACCUCCUGGGCAUGGUUUUCCUUAAGAAACCUGACAUCAGGUUUGAGCAGCUCACUCUCCUCAUCAUUAAAUUAAAGCUGAUGGUGCGGUGUGCAGUGAUGAUUUGUUCGUUUGCUUGCUUUUUAAGCUUCCUUAAUCAAAAUGAUAUACAAGUGGCUGAGUUAUCAGAUGCAAACAUCCCAUACCGCUGGACACAUGCCAGGGAUGCAGAAGCAGGUCUGAGAACAUUUACGGUUCAAUCUACUGUUGCCUUCUUCACAGCCCAGAAAUUCCUCUGUUGGGUAUUUGUUUGCAUUAAGGGCUACCAGAAGCUAUUUCUGAGGCAUUUCACAAUAAUUUUACAUCCUUCACCAUCUUCCAAAUGUGCCAGGGCAUCUAAGGGAGAUAGAUGCCCUUUAUGUCUGAAUAGGCAAGUUAAAGAUGCUCUUAGCAUCCGCUGUCUCGAUUACUAUGUCUCCAUGUUUUAAGAGGCACAUGCAGACCUUUCCACUGUCACUUGGCUCCAAAGGUCCCAAUUCAUGUGUCCUUAAUAUAAAUUUGGUAUAGCCUUGUUGAAAUUGAUAGCUGUGGUUCCCAGAUCUUUUGUAUAACAUCUAAUCAAUUGCAGUACUGUAAAAGGAGGUGUAAAAAGCUACCAGGCCUGUCCCUGUGGUAGCAACAAUUGAAGUUUGAGGGGAAGAUAGUUUUCAGCAUUGUGUGUGCACUUCUAAAUAAUUCAAAGCAGAUAAACAGUACCUACAGGUGCAUUUUUUUUUUAUUUUAUUUCACACUGGUGGAUCAAGAUACUGUAACCCAAAUAUAUAUCCUUUAGAUCCUUUUAGGCAUACAACAUCAAGACAACAGCUAUUAGAAAAUAAGGGAGUAAUAAAGCAAUCUGUAUGCCAUACAAAUUCUAUACAGCAGUUGUUUUCUGUUGUUGAAUUUUGCAUAUGUUAGUUUUCUUUUGAAUUCCAAGAGCUAAAGUGAGGAAAUGAUGUGAUAAGAUACAGAUCUUUCAAAGUUAAGCUUUGCUAGUGGUAUUGAGUGUCAUACACUCUGUAUACUUCUCAAGGAUCUUUGCCAUUGCAAGAGUUAGAAAAUGAGAAGUCAAUAAAUAAUAUGAUAGAGUAUACUCUUCCUCCUUUUUAAUGGGAGAAUAUUUCAGACAUGGUGAUGUAGCUGACAGAUUUUUGGUUUAGCAUAAAAGAUAAAGGAGAAGAAAAGAGAUUGAAAUGCAUAAUCAUAUAGGAAAUAAAGAAAAACCUAAUUAGUAAAGGAACUAAUUAGUAAGGGAACCUGUUGUGAAUUUAUCACAAUAGAGUAGCUUACGCAUAGCCUCGUCUAAGAAAGCUAAAUACAUGCUACCGUAAUAUGAAAUAAAGGUAAUAUAGAAUGAUAAGCACAUCACUUUUGAUAUUUCACUAAUGCUAGCUAGUAAUUGGGUUUUAUCCAGCUCAAAGACAACCUUGAAGCAUGCAAAGAAAUGCUCAUGUAUAUGCACAGGUGCACGUGUAUUUGUCUGAUCUUUAAUUGUUACUACAGAUACUAUGACAAAUAAAUAAAUUACCUGGUUUUACAAAGAUUGAUUUGAUAAAAAUAUACAGAGUUGAUUUGUCAUAUUUAUCUUUGGUUUUCACCAUAACAAAGGCUACAAAUAGAAGAAGAUGGUAAACAAACUGCAGAAGUAUUGGGGCUUAUAAGUAGCAUUCUGAGCUGGGGACACAAUGCAGAUCCAAGUAUUUUCUCUUCUGUACAAAUUCGCAGACAAUUCUGUCCUGUCAUAGAAACUGUAUCAGAUAAUAAUCAUGAAAGUAUUGAUAACCAUCUAUUAUUGUGCUCUUAGAUUAAAACGUACAGUAUGUAUCUCUAUCAACCAAUCUACUCAAUAUUGUUUCUAGAGAACAAGUAAUCUGUAGAGUUGUUGAGAUAACAGGAUUUGCUAUUUCCUGGUGUAAUUACCCACAAUUGUAUGAGCAUGACCCCUGUGCCAACUAACAAACUCUUGGCUAUGUAUGCAGGGUGACCCCAAUCAUGGUUACAGAAAAGCAGGAUUUGAGGAUUAGGCAUAUUUGUCCUUGUCAGGAGUUGUGUUUUUCUCCUCAUAUGGAUUAAAUAACUCUCAGAGUUGCUACUUUUGGCCUUCUGGUUGCAAGUUCAUGUUUUGCUUCAUCUCAGUUCUAGGAAUGGUUGUUUCCUGAGAAAAAUCAGGCUCAAAAUACUUUGGGACACUCUCGUGGUUUUUGUGCAUGUGGAAUUGGCAAACCAGUACAUGGAACCAUAUUUUACCUAACUGAUGGCCUCACCUUUACGAAAACAAGACAAGGAUGGCUGAUCAUGGACCUGCGAACCAGGCUGGUGCGAUGAUUUCCUCUGAGAACUUGGCAAAUGCUUUCCCUGUGAAUACUAUCAAAAGGGAUACAUAAUUUAACAACUUCGCUACCCUUCCAUGAGGAAAAUAAAAAAAUAAAGAAAAAUCUGCUUGCUUUCUUUUUAGAUGAGUAUUUUUUCCUGCCAGUAUGUCUGGCAGCUAAUGUCACCACUAAUACAGUUAUGAAAGAGUAAACUUCCUGACCAUCGCUUCAUUAGCAGAAUUAUUAAUUGUACUUCCUGAAUUUUUAUUAAUUUUCAUAUUGAAGUCAGAAACAGUAACUUUUAAUAUUAAAUGGAGCAGGCUGACAACUAGUAAAUAGAUCUUUACCGAAAUUGUAAACAGAAUGUAAUAUAAAAAUCAGAGGAGGCACCACUGCUGUUCAGAGUAAUAAUCCAAUUUCAGCUUCUUUGCUUGUAAAGGGAAAAAAACUCUGAACUGUGAGAGAUUGGGUGAAGUUUAUAUGUAAUGUCAGAAGGAAUUUACCUGUCAGUAUUGAUUACACAAGAAAGGCAGAAAAACCUUUCUGCAUACAGUUGGCUUCGCAGAAUAUACAAAAAGAAUAUGUGUGCUCAGAUCUGCUUGUGUUAGCACAACCAGCCCUGUGUGGAACCUGAGCAAUUGCAGGCCAUCGUCACACAGUCUUUCUGAUGGAGCAGAAAUCUCAGCUACUUUUAAAAGGAGUAGUCCCACUCCUUUUAAAAGCAGCUGUGCCCUCAGCUUGCACUGCUGCUUGUGCUGUACAUGCAGUAAUGUUCUUGAUGCUAUGUGCUUAGCCGCAAGAUGAGGCUUGAGUAACAGUCUUCUGCUGUUAUCUUUGUUUGU